AAGAGCUCAAAUUUGAAAGCUGGCCCCUUCGGGGUCCGCAUUGUAAUUUGCAGAGGAUGCUUCGGGAGCGGCCCCCAUCUAAGUGCCCUGGAACGGGCCGUCAUAGAGGGUGAGAAUCCCGUAUGGGAUGGGGUGUCCGCGCCCGUGUGAAGCUCCUUCGACGAGUCGAGUUGUUUGGGAAUGCAGCUCUAAAUGGGUGGUAAAUUUCAUCUAAAGCUAAAUAUUGGCCGGAGACCGAUAGCGCACAAGUAGAGUGAUCGAAAGAUGAAAAGCACUUUGAAAAGAGAGUUAAAAAGCACGUGAAAUUGUUGAAAGGGAAGCGCUUGCGACCAGACUCGCCCGCGGGGUUCAGCCGGCAUUCGUGCCGGUGUACUUCCCCGUGGGCGGGCCAGCGUCGGUUUGGGCGGCCGGUCAAAGGCCCUCGGAAUGUAACGCCUCUCGGGGCGUCUUAUAGCCGAGGGUGCCAUGCGGCCAGCCCGGACCGAGGAACGCGCUUCGGCUCGGACGCUGGCAUAAUGGUCGUAAGCGACCCGUCUU
rnacentral:rRNA from 1 species